GCAUCUUUCAAGCUCUAUCCUAGGAUCCUGGAAUAAAACACGUGUAGAAGGAAAACCUGCUGAUCUAUCAAAAUGUCAGAAGAAAUGAUUUCAGAUGGUUAGGAAAUGGUUGCUUUUAGGGCCAGGAGAAGAUGGCUUCCUGUCUCUAAUGAGCAAAGUCCUCAUCUUAAGAAAAUCUAUCCCUCCCAGUUAUCAGCCAGACUAAAACUGCUCUAACAUUUGGAAACAUUGCACAAACUUUAUAUAAACUGCAAAAACGUAUUUUAAAAAAUAUUCUCAUAAAGCGUAUCAGAGGGGAUUAUUGUCACUCCUGU